GCCAGUGUGGCCUAGUGGUUUGAGCUACUGACUACAACUCUAGAGACCAGAGUUCAAUUCCUGGCUCGGCCA